rnacentral:rRNA from 1 species
AACCAGCUCUUCAAGUGGUCGGGAUGAUUAUUGGGCUUAAAGUGUCCGUAGCCGGUUUAGUAAGUUCCUGGUAAAAUCGAGUAGCUUAACUAUUUGUAUGCUAGGAAUACUGCUAUACUAGAGGGCGGGAGAGGUCUGAGGUACUACAGGGGUAGGGGUGAAAUCUAUUGAUCCUUGUAGGACCACCAGUGGCGAAGGCGUCAGACUGGAACGUGCCUGACGGUGAGGGACGAAAGCCAGGGGAGCGAACCGGAUUAGAUACCCCCGUA